UACGUAGGGUGCGAGCGUUGUCCGGAAUUACUGGGCGUAAAGAGCUCGUAGGUGGUUUGUCGCGUGUCCUGAAAUUCCCUGGCUUAACUGGGGGCGUGCGGGCGAUACGGGCAGACGUGGAGUACUGCAGGGGAGACUGGAAUUCCUGGUGUAGCGGUGGAAUGCGCAGAUAUCAGGAGGAACACCAAUAGCGAAGGCAGCUCGCUGGGACGUACUGACACUGAGGCGCGAAAGCGUGGGGAGCGAACAGGG
rnacentral:rRNA from 1 species